rnacentral:rRNA from 1 species
GACGAACGCUGGCGGCGUGCUUAACACAUGCAAGUCGAACGGUGACGCACCUUCGGGUGCUGAUCAGUGGCGAACGGGUGAGUAACACGUGGGCAACCUGCCCCUGACUCUGGGAUAACUCCUCGAAAGAGGUGCUAAUACCGGAUAUCACCCCCCUCGGCAUCAGGGGGGGUUGAAAGAAUUUCGGUCAGGGAUGGGCCCGCGGCCUAUCAGCUAGUUGGUGGGGUAACGGCCCACCAAGGCGACGACGGGUAGCCGGCCUGAGAGGGCGACCGGCCACACUGGGACUGAGACACGGCCAGACUCCUACGGGAGGCAGCAGUGGGGAAUAUUGCGCAAUGGGCGAAAGCCUGACUCAGCAACGCCGCGUGAGGGAUGACGGCCUUCGGGUUGCAAACCUCUUUCAGCGGGGACGAAGCGAAAGUGACUGUACCCGCAGAAGAAGCGCCGGCUAACUACGUGCCAGCAGCCGCCGUAAGAC